rnacentral:snoRNA from 1 species
ACAACGUGAUGAUAAAUGAAAACGGCGAUGCUUUUACUUGUAAGUCCUUUUUAGCUAUGUGAAAGGGGCUACAUGAAGCGAAAUGAGCGUCAAAAGCGAGUAGUUUUCAAUCUGAUAAAA